rnacentral:pre_miRNA from 1 species
UGUAAGCGUAACCAUGAGUUUAUGUGUCUAACUUUAAUCGUUCAUCUUAUUUAAAAAAGAAUCAUCAUCAUCAUCAUUAUUAUUAGACGAUAAAACGUGAAUAUUAUUUUAUCUGUAAUUUAUGUUUUUAAUUUUUUUAAAAAAAAUAGAUAAGAUGGACGAUCAAAGUUGGACACAGAAACUUAUGGCUGCGUUUAAA